rnacentral:rRNA from 1 species
AACGAACGCUGGCGGCAUGCCUAACACAUGCAAGUCGAACGAGACCUUCGGGUCUAGUGGCGCACGGGUGCGUAACGCGUGGGAAUCUACCCUCAGGUUCGGAAUAACUCAGAGAAAUUUGAGCUAAUACCGGUUGAUGACGUAAGUCCAAAGAUUUAUCGCCUGAGGAUGAGCCCGCGUAGGUUUAGGUAGUUGGUGAGGUAAAGGCUCACCAAGCCGACGAUCCUUAGCUGGUCUGAGAGGAUGAUCAGCCACACUGGGACUGAGACACGGCCCAGACUCCUACGGGAGGCAGCAGUGGGGAAUAUUGGACAAUGGGCGAAAGCCUGAUCCAGCAAUGCCGCGUGAGUGAUGAAGGCCUUAGGGUUGUAAAGCUCUUUUACCCGGGAUGAUAAUGACAGUACCGGGAGAAUAAGCUCCGGCUAACUCCGUG